rnacentral:lncRNA from 1 species
AGGAAACCGAAGACUCGUAAUCGGAGCCAAACAUUUCAGAAAAAGCAGAAAAUGAGUUCAUUGAUCAGAAGAGUACUCUGUUUCAAGAAACUGGAUAAGGUAACUAAAAGAUCUCUGUCUUUUUUGUUGGUAUGGUUUGCUGAAAUAAUAGUUUCUCUCUCUUUCUGUUCUAGUUCAGGUGGAUUUAAUGUUUGUAGAUAAAUAAAAGUUGGAGUGAGAGCAUGCUGUUUUAUAAUGGCGGAAGAUAUUUUAGAGGCAAAAGAAAAGGCGAAGACGGAGUUUGUGUCUCUGGUAAUGCCACGUAAACUAUACACAGCGAAGCAAUUGUAAAAUGAGUAGUUUAAGGAUUCACUCAUUAAGAUCUGCCAUGUGUCCAGAGAAGACUUUUUUUGACUUAUUCACUCGUUAUUAUUAUACCUUUAUGAGUUUUAUAAACUCUUUGCGUAUGAAUGUGUGGCUGUUAAGGAUUUAGUGUACUAGGUGUAGGGUAACCGUUAUUCAUUAUUAUAUUCCUGAAUAAAGAAAUUGUCGUUAAUUGUUCACCCGUGUAUUAGACAUAAAGAUUGUGAGAGGAUAUUUAAAGAUGCUCUUCUUGUGUAAUUUCUCCCAUUCUUAUAGCACAUCCUUCUAGAAUAUGAAUUGGG